rnacentral:siRNA from 1 species
GGGAAUUCACCUUGCGUACCCUAC